rnacentral:rRNA from 1 species
CAGUAGCCGCGGUAAUACGUAGGGUGCAAGCGUUAAUCGGAAUUACUGGGCGUAAAGCGUGCGCAGGCGGUUUGUUAAGACAGAUGUGAAAUCCCCGGGCUCAACCUGGGAACUGCAUUUGUGACUGGCAAGCUAGAGUCUGGCAGAGGGGGGUGGAAUUCCGCGUGUAGCAGUGAAAUGCGUAGAUAUGCGGAGGAACACCGAUGGCGAAGGCAGCCCCCUGGGCCAACACUGACGCUCAUGCACGAAAGCGUGGGGAGCAAACAGGAUUAGAUACCCGUGUAGUCCCUGUCUCUUAUAC